GGUCACGAGCACCAGUGCCAAGCCCCGGCUCGCUGGUCGGCAACCCCCUGUCACGGCGGGGUGCUCCGGGAGAUGACCAGGCCGCGCGCGACCGGCCCCGCACCCGCGGGACGGCCGCGCGGCAAGCGUGAUCG
rnacentral:ncRNA from 1 species